GAUGAACGCUGGCGGCGUGCCUAAUACAUGCAAGUCGAGCGAACGGACGAGAAGCUUGCUUCUCUGAUGUUAGCGGCGGACGGGUGAGUAGCACGUGGAUAACCUACCUAUAAGACUGGGAUAACUUCGGGAAACCGUAGCUAAUACCGGAUAAUAUUUUGAACCGCAUGGUUCAAAAGUGAAAGACGGUCUUGCUGUCACUUAUAGAUGGAUCCGCGCUGCAUUAGCUAGUUGAUAAGGUAACGGCUUACCAAGGCAACGAUGCAUAGCCGACCUGAGAGGGUGAUCGGCCACACUGGAACUGAGACACGGUCCAGACUCCUACGGGAGGCAGCAGUAGGGAAUCUUCCGCAAUGGGCGAAAGCCUGACGGAGCAACGCCGCGUGAGUGAUGAAGGUCUUCGGAUCGUAAAACUCUGUUAUUAGGGAAGAACAUAUGUGUAAGUAACUGUGCACAUCUUGACGGUACCUAGUCAGAAAGCCACGGCUAACUACGUG
rnacentral:rRNA from 1 species